UUUCCGUAGGUGAACCUGCGGAAGGAUCAUUAGUGAGUUGUCAUGGGGUUCGAUGCUGGCAGCCAAUUUUUGGAUGCAUGUGCUUGCCCUAACAAUCAUCUUCCAAACACCUGUGCACAUUUUUGAGGGAGUCUUGAGUUGGUUGCCGCUCUUGGGUGAUUUUCUCACAUUCCCUUAAAUCAUUAUACGCUAUUAACAAUGUUGAACGUGCUCUGUGCCGCAAGGCUAUUAAUAUAAUACAACUUUUAACAACGGAUCUCUUGGCUCUCGCAUCGACGAAGAACGCAGC
rnacentral:misc_RNA from 1 species